rnacentral:rRNA from 1 species
AACGUAGGGGGCGAGCGUUGUUCGGAAUCAUUGGGCGUAAAGCGCGUGUAGGCGGUCUGCUAAGUCGGACGUGAAAGCCCCAGGCUUAACCUGGGAAGUGCAUCCGAAACUGGCGGACUUGAGUCUGGAAGAGGGAAAUGGAAUUCCUGGUGUAGCGGUGAAAUGCGCAGAUAUCAGGAAGAACACCAGUGGCGAAGGCGGUUUCCUGGGCCACGACUGACGCUGAGACGCGAAAGCUAGGGGAG